rnacentral:rRNA from 1 species
AACGCUAGCUACAGGCUUAACACAUGCAAGUCGAGGGGCAGCACAGUGUGGCAACACACGGGUGGCGACCGGCGCGCGGGUGAGUAACACGUAUCCAACCUGCCGCAUACUCCGGAAUAGCCUUUCGAAAGAAAGAUUAAUGCCGGAUGGCAUCUGUGUCCUGCAUGGGAUAUAGAUUAAAGAUUUAUCGGUAUGCGAUGGGGAUGCGUUCCAUUAGGCAGUUGGCGGGGUAACGGCCCACCAAACCGACGAUGGAUAGGGGUUCUGAGAGGAAGGUCCCCCACAUUGGAACUGAGACACGGUCCAAACUCCUACGGGAGGCAGCAGUGAGGAAUAUUGGUCAAUGGACGAGAGUCUGAACCAGCCAAGUAGCGUGAAGGAAGACUGCCCUAUGGGUUGUAAACUUCUUUUAUAAGGGAAUAAAGAGUCCUACGUGUAGGGCGUUGCAUGUACCUUAUGAAUAAGCAUCGGCUAAUUCCGUGCCAGCAGCCGCGGUAAUACGGAAGAUGCGAGCGUUAUCCGGAUUUAUUGGGUUUAAAGGGAGCGUAGGCGGGAAGUUAAGUCAGUUGUGAAAGUCUGCGGCUCAACCGUAGAAUUGCAGUUGAUACUGGCUUUCUUGAGUGCGGCAGAGGCAGGCGGAAUUCGUGGUGUAGCGGUGAAAUGCUUAGAUAUCACGAAGAACUCCGAUUG